GAAUACAGUAACCUGUUGCAAAGACUGAAAUGACUGGCCAACAGAGAUGAAGAAUUUUAAAAAGUACCUGGAGGUUUCAAGGGACACAGCUGCUGCCUGAAUACGUAACUGUGCAAAUAGUGAAUUGAAACAAAGGUCUUGCUCUAUCACACAGGCUGGAGUGCAGUGACGCAAUCUCGGCUCACUACAACCUCCAUCUCCCAGAUUCAAGUGAUUCUUCUGCCUCAGUCUCCUGAGUAGCUGGGAUUCCAGGCACCCACUACCAUGCACAGCUAAUUUUUGCAUUUUUUGUAGAAAUGGGGUUUCACAGCAUUGGCCAGACUGGUCUUGAACUCCUGACCUCGUGAUCCACCCACCUCAACCUCCCAAAG
rnacentral:lncRNA from 13 species